UACGUAGGUGGCAAGCGUUGUCCGGAUUUACUGGGCGUAAAGAGCGCGCAGGCGGUCGAGUAAGUCGAAUGUGAAAGCCCCCGGCUUAACUGGGGAGGGUCAUUCGAUACUGUUCGACUUGAAGGCAGGAGAGGGCAGCAGAAUUCCCGGUGUAGUGGUGAAAUGCGUAGAUAUCGGGAGGAACACCAGUGGCGAAGGCGACUUCCUGGCCUGUUCUUGACGCUGAGGCGCGAAAGCUAGGGUAGCAAACGGG
rnacentral:rRNA from 1 species